rnacentral:rRNA from 1 species
UACGGAGGAUGCGAGCGUUAUCCGGAUUUAUUGGGUUUAAAGGGUGCGCAGGCGGUCUGUUAAGUCAGCGGUCAAAGCCCGGGGCUCAACCCCGGCCCGCCGUUGAAACUGGCAGUCUCGAGUUGGAGAGAAGUAUGCGGAAUGCGCGGUGUAGCGGUGAAAUGCAUAGAUAUCGCGCAGAGCUCCGAUUGCGAAGGCAGCAUGCCGGCUCCACACUGACGCUGAGGCACGAAAGCGUGGGUAUCGAACAGG